rnacentral:rRNA from 1 species
GACGAACGCUGGCGGCGCACCUAAGACAUGCAAGUCGGACGCUCCCUUUGGGGAGAGUGGCGGACGGGUGAGUAACACGUAGGAGACCUACCCCGGGGUGGGGGAUACCACCGGGAAACCGGUGCUAAGACCGCAUACGGCGGGCACCAUAGGGGGUGCUCGGGAAAUGCUUCGGCAGCCCUGGGCGGGUCCUGCGGCGGAUUAGGUGGUUGGGGGGGUAGUGGCCCACCAAGCCGACGAUCCGUAGCUGGUCUGAGAGGACGACCAGCCACACCGG